AUGAGUAGGUAAAAGGCAAUAAAGCCCUUGAAGGUUAAAAAUGAGUAUAAAUGAAUAAGGGGUAUUAUAGUAAUUGAACAAAGAGUUGAUAAAUAUAAAUAGAAAAGAAAAUAGAAGAGGAGAGCUGUGUUUUAAGUGUGAAAAACUGACGGGAGAAGAGAAGAAAAAGGGAAGAAGAAGAAGAGAAAAGAGGGAAAGAUAAGGAAAUGAGAAGAUAAUUGGAGGAAAUAAGUUUAAAGGUUCUUCUAACGAUCCUCAAUAGAUUUUUCGGGUCUUUCAUCUGACAUUCCUUUUAGUUCUAUAUUUUCCGGGUGAGUGGGAUAAUCUUUAAUAUGCAUAUAUGAUAAGUAAAUAUGUAUGUUGAUUAUACAAUGAGUACAACUAGUUAAUUUCUUGAAUAUUUAUAUAUGUUGCUUAUUUUCCGAGUACUCAUUUAUUCUUGAAUUUGCAUUCGCAAUCUGUCGAACUAGAUUCUAUUUGAUAUGAUAUACGUUUCUCUAAUGAUUCUGUAAAUAUCUAUUAUGCCUUGAUAUCGGACUUGUCAGUAACUCCAUGCUAACGGAGAGUAGUUAGCCUAUGUGCACAUAGUAUUCUGUAUACCUAGCUGGUGAGAGAGGCAUCAGCCUGUGGCGACUGAUCAUCCCACAGUGGUCACCUUCGGGUGUCAUCUGGUCACCUUCGGGUGUCAUCUGGUCUGGUCACCUUCGGGUGUCAUCUGGUCACCUUCGGGUGUCAUCUGAUCUCUGACAUGUAUAUGUAAGGGGUUUACAUGGUUAUCAUGGUCUAUGGUGAUCCUCUUGAUUAUAUGGUCUAUGGUGAUCCUCUUGAUUAUAUGUCGAUUGUGUCGGUACGGCUUUGGGGUAUGACACCCAUCUUCACUCGUCUCAACCCUAAGAUUGAAAAAAAAAAAAAUUCUUCUUCAAAGCUUAUGUUUCUUUUCUUUCUGUUAUAUUGUUACUUCUGGUAGAUAUUCUUUAUCUUUUACUCUCUUUUUUUCGCAUCAUUGAGGCUCUAGUGUUGAAUCUUCAUCUAGUGUUCUGCCUUCUUCCUUAUCGAAUUCAUUUGAAUAGUUCUUCUGCAUAUCUGUAUUGCAUUUAACUUCUGAACUAUAAGUAUGAUUUCAGCUAUAUCAAUUAUUUUCUUACUCCGAUUCUUUUCUGCCACCAAAUCAGUUAUUUCUACCUCUAGAUGAUUUUCCUUGACGUCAGUUCCUUCUUAUGCAAUGAAGUCUUUGUGGCCAUGAACUUUUAAAAUAGAUUCAAAAGCCGCUUUGCUUAUUCCAUAUUCUGGAGUUUGUAAUUUUAAGGCAUUAUAUGGGCUUUUGCUUUCUUUUACUUGGACUUCAUUUAUACUAUCCUUUUGUAUGCUUGUAUUGAGUUCAACCCCAAAUCCUGAGUUUUCAAGCUCAUUGGUUUCAUCCUUAUGCAAACAUGUAUCUCCUAUUAUCUUUGGUGGAGAUCGAUUUUAUGGAUCGGCUGGUAUUUUCACUUACACACAAUCUUUAAUAUUCUUAAUAAUCAUUUCAGACUCGCAAUCCAAAGAAAUGUCAUUGCCAAUGUCUAAAUUUGCUCUUCUAAAUUCUUUUCUGGGACAAUUUGACUUGAAGUACUCUCAUCUUAUUUUAGUGCUUCAAACCUUGAGAAUUAUUCAUGGAUAUUAAUUUUGGAUCAUCCUUGAUUUCUUUUUUCUUUAGUUUCAUCAGGAGUUCCACAUUCUUCUUAUAGUACCUCAUUUGGACUUUGAUUUUGUAUAUCUUUGUUAUAUUAAAGCUUCAAUUGAGAGAUGUCAUAUUUCCUACGAUCAUCUUCUUGCAAGGAUAUGCCUUUUGUUUUUCUCAAAUAAUCUUAUAGAUACUCCACAUUCUUAUUUUCUACAUUUCUAUUAGUUGUUGUUGAAAUUCCUUGCUCUUUUUUUUAUAUGACUUCUGAAGAAUUCUAGUCAAUAACAAUUUCAUUUAUUGUGGCUUCAGCACCUAGAGAUUCAACUAUUUCUGAGGAUUUCUCAUUUUUCUCUUUUAAUUUUGCUUAUGAUUAGCUCUUCAAUACCAUGACUUUUAGAUUCAUAAAUUAGAUCUGAAGCCUUUUUAUUUUUAUGGCAUCAUCUGCAUCUAUGUUUUCUUUAGCCACUUGCUCCCUCGUUAUGUUUUCACAAUCAUUAAUUGAAAUUUGAGAUGUCAAGUUUAAGUAGGGUAUCUUAAGUCCCAUGUUAUCUUUGAAUAUUUUUUUUGUUGUUCUUCUUUGUUUUUGAACAUGUUUUUGCUUCAAUUUCAAGAGAAGCACUAUCAUUUGAGGUAAUAUUAGAAACCCUAUAACAACUUUUCAUCAAGCUAAGCUUCUUCCAAGUUGAUUUUUGAAGAGAUAUGAUUUGGGAUAAGUUGUUUGAGAAAAUUUGAUUCAAGAGAAAUUGAAGGGUAUGUUGUUUGAUUUUGAGGGAUAUGAAUUAAGAAAAGUUAUGCAUGAGAUAUUUUUAUUCAGUGGAUAUAUCAGAGUGCGCAACGAAAGCAUGGUGCUAUUUAUUGAUUUUUGAAGUGGACUCUAAAUGAUAGUUUAAGAAACACAAUUUUAGAGAUAAGUUUUAAAUAAUUUAUUUGAUCAUGAUGGUAAGACUUUGGUUCUUAAAUUUUAAGUUUCGAGGACGAAACUUUUAUAAGGUGGGGAGAUUGUGAUGUUUUGAAAUAAGAUGAGUAGGUAAAAGGCAAUAAAGCCCUUGAAGGUUAAAAAUGAGUAUAAAUGAAUAAGGGGUAUUAUAGUAAUUGAACAAAGAGUUGAUAAAUAUAAAUAGAAAAGAAAAUAGAAGAGGAGAGCUGUGUUUUAAGUGUGAAAAACUGACGGGAGAAGAGAAGAAAAAGGGAAGAAGAAGAAGAGAAAAGAGGGAAAGAUAAGGAAAUGAGAAGAUAAUUGGAGGAAAUAAGUUUAAAGGUUCUUCUAACGAUCCUCAAUAGAUUUUUCGGGUCUUUCAUCUGACAUUCCUUUUAGUUCUAUAUUUUCCGGGUGAGUGGGAUAAUCUUUAAUAUGCAUAUAUGAUAAGUAAAUAUGUAUGUUGAUUAUACAAUGAGUACAACUAGUUAAUUUCUUGAAUAUUUAUAUAUGUUGCUUAUUUUCCGAGUACUCAUUUAUUCUUGAAUUUGCAUUCGCAAUCUGUCGAACUAGAUUCUAUUUGAUAUGAUAUACGUUUCUCUAAUGAUUCUGUAAAUAUCUAUUAUGCCUUGAUAUCGGACUUGUCAGUAACUCCAUGCUAACGGAGAGUAGUUAGCCUAUGUGCACAUAGUAUUCUGUAUACCUAGCUGGUGAGAGAGGCAUCAGCCUGUGGCGACUGAUCAUCCCACAGUGGUCACCUUCGGGUGUCAUCUGGUCACCUUCGGGUGUCAUCUGGUCUGGUCACCUUCGGGUGUCAUCUGGUCACCUUCGGGUGUCAUCUGAUCUCUGACAUGUAUUCCACUACUUUAUGAUAAUAUGUUUAGUAUGUAUAUGUAUAUGAGGAUAUUUCCACUACGUUAUGAUAAUAUGUUUAGUAUGUAUUUGUAUCUGUAUCUGUAUAUGUCUAUGAGGAUAAACUUCCACUACUUUAUGAUAAUAUGUUUAGUAUGUAUAUGUAUAUGAGGAUAUUUCCACUACGUUAUGAUAAUAUGUUUAGUAUGUAUUUGUAUCUGUAUCUGUAUAUGUCUAUGAGGAUAAACUUCCACUACCUUAUGAUAAUAUGUUUAGUAUGUAUAUGUAUAUGUAUAUGAAGAUAAAUUUCCACUACUUUAUGAUAAUAUGUUUAGUAUGUAUAUGUAUAUGUAUAUGAAGAUAAAUUUCCACUACUUUAUGAUAAUAUGUUUUAGUAUGUAUAUGUAUAUGUAUAUGAAGAUAAAUAGUUUUACAAACUAUUAAUAUCUAAAAUAUCUAAAAUGUAUAUUAAUUAUUAUUCCCUCACUGAGUUGGUUGAACUCACCCCUCAUUCUUAAUAUUAUUUCAGGUUCUUAGUUUCUGAUAGCAGGUGAACCUUGUUGAGUGUUCCUGCUUCUUCAGUUUUGGGUCGGUAUGCCUUGCUUAUCUUUCAAGGCUGUUUGAUUCGAUGUCUUAGGCGCUCCACCAUUACCUUGUUUUAAUUAAGUUUGGAUUUUUGACAAUGUAAUGAGUGUUAUGGAUUAUUGUUUUUGUUUUAAUUACUGAUGAGGAGUUUUAAACUAUUUUUUUGGUUUCAUCAGUUUUGAAAAAUAUAAUAUUUCUGAAGAUUAUGAAAUGCUGCGUAUUUUUGAAUAAAUUAUUCUUUUGAUA